ensembl:lncRNA
AACAGAUGUGCUUUAGAUGUUCUGAUUGUUAUCCAUCACAUACCAAUCAGGAUGGCUUCAGAUGCAGCCAGAGUCGGAGAAAAUCCCGUAAGAAAAGCUGUGACUCCCGCCGAUUGCACAUUUCAAUGAGGUUACACAAAACGACAGCAGGCACACAGGCCACAGUUCAUUUGAUGUUUAGAACACUGCAAAAAGCGUGAACUGGUAGAGGAACUGAUGGGUCUUAAAAGCACACAGUGGUCUCGUGAAAUAUUCAGUUUUUUUUAGUAAUUUCUAGUAACUAAAAUUUGUAUGAUCAAUAGAACACUUAAAACCUUUGCACAGCACCGCGCAUACAUCAUGACGCAUGGAAUUGUGUGCUUUUGCAGAUUGUUUUUAUACACAUUCUCACAUUCAGUUUAACCCACUCCACGGCAGGUGAUAUUCCCCGUUUUCCCCCGCGUUUACCCUUUACCCACAGACCUCAACAAAACAGACUAUUUGCUUGUUUUUCUUUUUCUUUCUUUUUUUUUUCAAAAUCCAUCCACACACAAAUAUUGACGUGCUUUUUCAAACCCACACUGAGAAACAUGACAGUAUGUUAUUUUUUAUCCACUUUUUUUUUUCUUCUGUUUCUUUUUUUUUUUUUUAUGUUUUUCUUUUUUCUUCAUCAAGGACAGAUUAUGUACAUAGAGAUGUUAUACGCCACUGAAAAAUCCAGCGGAACGCUUACAUGGAACAAAAAAAACGGUAAGUGAUAAAACUAAAAACAAAAGCAUAAGAGGCAUGUAGAUAGUGACAGGAGACAGGAAAAAAUAAGAAACACUGACCAAAUGACCUGCUCUUGUGCUUGAAAUGGAACCCGUCGUUGUUUAUGAAGCAACAAGAUGCAUGCACAACGGGCGUGUUGUCACGCAGACGACCCAAAUACAUUGCAGCGGGCAAGACUUUUGAGAACAACAUGUAUUGUAAUGUUUUAGAAUAAGGGCCAUUUAAACAGAGCUUCACAAUCAUUUCAGAGUACUGUACACAAUAAAAGUACAACAACAGACUUAUUUGAUUUACCUUGUUAAUGGCAGAUUUUCAGAUAUUACACCACAGCUUUAACCAUGACUGACAUCUCUUGCACAGUAGAAUUAGGGGUUAUUGCUGGCUUGAACCAAAAAUUUGAGUAAAAUAACAAAUAAAUAAAAGAAAAAAACACACACACAUUCAGACAUUUGAUUCAAUAUCGAG